CAUCAAUAAAGAAAAGGGAGAGGGGAAGAGGAAAAAAAGUCAGGCCCAGGAGGGUAAGGAAAAGGAUAAGAAACCAAAGAAAGAAAUGGAGGAAAAGAGAUAGCGACAGAAUGUUGAUGGAAGAAGAGCACAGGAAGUGGACUGCCAAGGCCUCAGAGGAAGACCCUCUCUGAGAGGAUGGGUUUCAUAAGAUAAACCACAGAAGAAGCCUAAGCCGACUAGUUACACACAACGUAAAGAUUUCCCUGUUCUCGCUGCAAAGCCAUCCCUCGAAAUGCAAAGUCAGACCUCUCUAUUUUUACUGCGAAGCCAAGGAGUAAGUAAACUGAAAAGGCUCCUAAUGGUUAAGGACAAAAGUAGAAAGGUA